CAAAUGUUUUUUUUAAUCCGACACAUAUCUCAUCGAGGAGAGAUGCAAUGCAGAUUUCAGCCUCCUGUUGGAAAGUGCACGUGCUCGCGCUUAGAUUGCCAUGGUAACAAUUAACAAUUUUGCAUGUAGGUUUUUUAGGACUCAUCUACUUUGAAAAAAGUCGCGUGAAAUUUCGACGUAAUGCGUAAUGCGUACUUGAUAAAAGUUAUAACCAGGCAGCAUUUCACCAAGCAUCGUCUGAAUUAUCAUCAUUACGCAUAACGUCGAAAUAACGCGUUUUCUUUUCUCAAAGUUAAAGGUGACAACGCAAAUAUGAAUAUUGAAAAAGCCAUAAUUAUGUUGGUGUGGAAAUUUGAUAUCACAGGAGGCAUGUUACACGGCAGUGAUGACUGUUAUAUAAACCUGUAAUGUAUGUGAUAUCGUUUACGUCUACCAUAAACAGCCGCCCACUCUUACUUAGGGUAAACCAUUUUUGGUGUGCUGUCUCCAGCUGAGGAUUCGGGGUUAUUUUAUUUUGACUACGCACAAGCUGACAGAUUGAUAAGCUUUUGAAUAUGUCGUUUAUUUUAGUUUCAAGACUCGUCGGAUAGACACGGUUUCAUUGCACUACGCUACACUUAUCACCCGGUGGUCAGCUCAGUGAAAAAUCCUUGUUUCAAUUAGAAAGGCUAUCUGAUUAGCGUCACAUUUUACUAUCGGAAUUCCAGCCAAUCAGAUUGAAGGGAAACAUUUACUCAGCACGUGUCGUCGACCAGGCCAAGGACGUCACUCUUUCCGCAGCACUUUGUCGUGUGUGUCAUCAUAUCAGUGGGGUACUAUCAUGAAGUAAUAUAGGUUUACUACAGAAAUCAAUAGGGACCUGCUGCAGGUCGGACAUACUUCACGUACCAGAAAUGGUCCAAUGGAAGGUUCUCGUAUUAACCCCUCUUAUUACUUUGGUGGGGACCCUCUUCAUAUAUCAGCCCUUCGGUGGUCCUCUAGACUGCUUCUUGGCCUUGGUGUUGCUUGUGUGCAUUGGUGUACUGGCGUAUCAGGCAUAUACUUAAAACAGCAGAUCAGCACGUCGUGGAAAAUGAUGUAAUCAUGAAAAGGGAGUUUGCGGUUCCCAGCUUGUGUAGAUGGAUUACUUCCAAUCCGAUCAUUCCACUUACGGGCCCGGAGUUCAAAAAUAUCGUUAAGGCUUCGUUAGCUUAACGAUAGUUUUGAACAAUCGAGCCCAGAAUAACAGCACUAUGCUUAAAACCAGUUAACAUCAUUGCACAUUGUGAUCAAAACAACCUUCAUUAAUUACUUUUUAACUUAUGUAUGAUACCAUUAUAUAUUUAUGUUGUGCUCGCAAUCAUUUCAUCAUUGUCACGAAACUUACGAUUUCCAUUGAAUUUCCUGUUCUGCUGUAAGUAUGACCACAAGUAUGACAUGAUGAGGGUUAAUUGGAUAGCGCUGUUAUCCAAUGAAUCAGUCCGAUCAUUUAUCAUCGGAUGUGUCCGAUUUUACUUAUCUUAAAUGUCUUCAUUUCAUAUAACAUAUGAUGAAUCUCGUCUCGAAGUUUACAUUUUCCUCGCAAAGGCUCGCAAAGAUAAACGAAUGAAAAUAAUAAAAAGACUCGUUUCAUAAAAUAUCAUUUGAAAUGGAAAUUCAAAAGAUGCUAUAUUUGUAAUGGCUAAAUUGAGAUUUGACAGGGAAAAUGUCGUUAAUGAGAUUACGUCUGUAAAUAUUCAGCAUUAUGUAUAUUUAAUAUUGAUUGUUUACUAUGUUAAGUUAUUAUGGUCAAACUUUUAGUUAUAUUUUCUUAAAAUGUUCAAAACAAGCACUGUGUUUUUAUUUCUUAAAAGGACUGGAAGCAAUUUGUAUGCUUCGUAAUGGAGGUUAAAUUAUCUAAUUUAUAUUCAGUUUGACAUUUUAUAAAAUCAAAUGUUUUUUUUUAAUCCGACACAUAUCUCAUCGAGGAGAGAUGCAAUGCAGAUUUCAGCCUCCUGUUGGAAAGUGCACGUGCUCGCGCUUAGAUUGCCAUGUUUCAAGACUCGUCGGAUAGACACGGUUUCAUUGCACUACGCUACACUUAUCACCCGGUGGUCAGCUCAGUGAAAAAUCCUUGUUUCAAUUAGAAAGGCUAUCUGAUUAGCGUCACAUUUUACUAUCGGAAUUCCAGCCAAUCAGAUUGAAGGGAAACAUUUACUCAGCACGUGUCGUCGACCAGGCCAAGGACGUCACUCUUUCCGCAGCACUU